UCCAGCAAUUUUAAAAUUAAAAUACGUUUAAAUUGGUUUAAAUACUUUAAAUCAAAUAAAACAUUUAAAAGUGAAAUCGAUGUGGUGAUCUAGAUAAAUAUCAUUGAUAUUUAUGCACACAAUCUUUGAGAUAAACUAAAAUCUUUUUGGUUUACAAGCUAAGAAUCCAACCGUUGAUAUCGACAACACUCAAUGUUCAAGAAAAAUUAAGACUCUUAAAAGAAAAAGUAGAGAAUUUAAACAGUUUUCAAAAACAUACUGAUUGAUCAUUACAUCAAGUGAAAUGUUUUAUCUUUGUUUUAUCGAGGAUAUCAUUGGAAAUACUGGAGCACAAUGCCCUAAAAUGGAAUGUUGUAAAGGGAUGAAAAAUACUCUUAAAGACUUAUGCAGACAAAACACGUACAUAUAGUUAUAAUACUUACAAAAAUGUCUAGAAAAAAUCUUCGAGAUAACAAAAAUCUUUUUGGUUUACAAGCUAAAGAAUCCAACAAUCAAGAACACUUGAGAUUCAAGAAAAAGAAAAAAUAGAGAAUUUAAACAGUUUUCAAAAGCAGACUGAUUCAUCAUUAUAUAAAGUAAAUAGUAAUCUUUGUUGUAUCGAGAAUAUGAUUGGAAGUACUGGAGCACAAUGCCCUAAAAUGGAAUGUUGUAAAGGUAA